rnacentral:rRNA from 1 species
GACAUAGGUGGCAAACGUUAUCCGGAAUUAUUGGGCGUAAAGGGUGCGUAGGUGGGUUGGUAAGUCAGUGGUGAAAUCUCCAGGCUUAACUUGGAAACUGCCAUUGAUACUAUCAAUCUUGAAUACCGUGGAGGUCAGCGGAAUAUGUCAUGUAGCGGUGAAAUGCUUAGAUAUGACAUAGAACACCAAUUGCGAAGGCAGCUGGCUACACGAAUAUUGACACUGAUGCACGAAAGCGUGGGGAUCAAACAGG